UGACCUAACUUUUUCCUUUUUCUUUCUAAUUUAUAGCUGUGAUAUUUACCUGUAGUAGUAUUACUCCAAGCUAAUCACUGCCAUGGCUGUGGACAGACAGACAGAGAGCAGCUUACUGCUGAAGACACAAAUACUUCAUGUACUUCCUGAAUAA
rnacentral:lncRNA from 1 species